GCAGUCGUGGCCGAGUGGUUAAGGCGAUGGACUCGAUAUCCAUUGGGGUUUCCCCGCACAGGUUCGAAUCCUGUCGGCUGCG
rnacentral:tRNA from 1 species